rnacentral:lncRNA from 1 species
GGACAGCAACGACCGAUCCAGGAUCUGAUAAUGAAGCUGAUGACAUGCAAUUAAAAAUCUAAAUGGGAUUCCAACUCUAGUUGAUCAUCAUUCUGUCAUUAGAUAUAUUUAUGUGGGGGUAAAUUUUGGAUUACUCUCUCGACAAUUGAUUAUCUUCAAAGUUUGGCCAGAACCUCUGGGAAAGGGCCACGGCGGAUUUGUUAUGUCACGACAGACCAUGGUUUCAGGUUUCAGGUUUCAGGUUUCAGGUUUCACGUGUUCAGGCCACGGAGUCCAGACAAUGCAAGCUAGGUACAAAAGCAAGGACAGCAUGCAUAGAGUCGGUGAGUGCUUUCAAUACUCGGACCAUUUUGUCAAAGAGGAAACAAAUAUCUUGAAUCAUUUUCUAACUAAAACAUGUGCAGCGCCUGAAUUUAGGAGAGCGCAAGGAGUUGAGACGAUGAAAGGUGAUAAGAAAAACACCCUUUCGGGCACUUUUGGUUGUUUUUUGAACGUCCUUUUUUGGUUUUGCUGAUAAAAUGAAAAACGUGUUUGUUAUGGCAAUUUUUUGAAUACUUUUUUCAUUUGGAUAAAAAUGCAUUGUAUGAUUGUAUCCACUUCCUAAUUUUUGUGGUUAAAAAAUAAUAAUAAUAAUAAUAAAUAAAUAAAUCUCUCUG